UGGGUAAACUGUAAGGAUUUGGUGGAUU
rnacentral:piRNA from 1 species